ACCACUCCCUACAUGAGUAAUUUUAAGCUAUAUAAAUAUAAUUUAAUAAAGUAUCUAUUUUUUUUAAACAGAAAAUGAACAAGACCAUCCUGUUACUCGUAGUCCUUUUGGUUUGUGUUUACCAUGCCUCUGCACAGCUUCUUUCACCAACAGGAGGAGCGUUUCUAGCAGGACUUUCUCUGCCAUUUAUAAUUAAUGGAGGGCAGUUCCCUUCCUUCGGCACAUUCCCAGCUGGAAUUCCACCACCACCCUUCUACUACCCUGGACAAUUUUUCUAAAAAGAAUAAAAGAUUGACAGUUACUGAUGAAGAUAUCCAUGGUAAAAAGACUACAGAAAACCAUAACAUUCAUCAUGUUCAUAUGGCCUGAAAACUCUUCAUAUAUUAAUUUAUUUAUUAUAUCACCAUAACAACAAGAUGUUUUUCAAUUACAUCGCUUCAUUUUAUAUUUUUGUUAAGAUUUUUUUUAAAACAUUUAUAUGUGUAUUUAAUAUAUAAUAUUCCAAAUGAUAUAUAAUGGUAAACAUUCAAUAAAGAUUUUUCAUAGUGUCGAGAACUCAAAUGCUAUUUUAACCAUUUUGAAAGAAUGUUAGGAAAAUAUGCAUGAUCUUUUUAAAAAGAGAUGCAAUUGAACAGGUCUAUUUUGGAACUUAUUUAGACCAAUAAUUUGAACAAAAUUCAAAAGAGCAUGCAACUUUAUCUGGUAAAAAUAUGUCAUAUAAAAAUAUAAAGGAACAUAAAUAUCAGGAUAAUUUAUCUAAAAAAUUCCUGAUACUUUUAAUAGAUGAACAUUUCUGUAUUAAUUUUCAAAAUAAAAAGUAAAAAUUUGACUCACAAUAGUCAUUUAAGGACAAUAAUUCCUACAAAAUGUUAAUAAAAUGGUUUGCAUUAAUUUUAGUUAGAACUCAUAAGGUAUUCAUUGGUGCUGUUUACAGUUUUUGUAUAUUUAUUAUAAUUUUCUAGAUACUGGAAAAAAUGCAAAAAAAAAUCAUCAUUUAAAUUCAUUUAUAAAGUGGACAAUUCAUUUAAAGUCCUACAUUGGAUAUUUCAAGGGGGAAAAAAAGUCAUGUUACUUAUAAAGUAGUUAAUCCUACAAUUUUUUAUUUUAUCAAAGUUGUGAAAUUAACAUUUGUUUUUUUUACUAAAAUACAAAACUAUGACAUGAAUUCCCUUAAUAUAUCGGAAAAUGAAAAAAAAACAAAAAAACUAUAUAUUUUUGUAACCAUCUCUGGUAAAUUUGUUCUAAUAUAAAACAAAUACUGUUGGUCCUUUGCACUGAAGACACAGGGGUCUCUAGAUAUUUCCACUUUAUUUGUUACUUGAUGAUUUAUUUAAUUAUUAUAAAAAGAAAAUGUAUUCAUUAAUGUAUUUUUUGGCUGUUAUAUUUGUCACUAGCUAAUUUAUUUAAAUGACAAUAAAAAUUUACAUUUGAA